GCCUGGGUGGCGGAAUUGGUAGACGCAAGGGACUUAAAAUCCCUUGAGGCUUGUCCUCGUGGGAGUUCGAUUCUCCCCCUAGGCACCA
rnacentral:tRNA from 1 species